rnacentral:rRNA from 1 species
GGCCAAGCGGUGGACAUGUGGUUUAUUCGAUGCAACGCGAAGAACCUUACCUACUCUUGACAUCCAGAGAACUUUCCAGAGAUGGAUUGGUGCCUUCGGGAACUCUGAGACAGGUGCUGCAUGGCUGUCGUCAGCUCGUGUUGUGAAAUGUUGGGUUAAGUCCCGCAACGAGCGCAACCCUUAUCCUUUGUUGCCAGCGGUUCGGCCGGGAACUCAAAGGAGACUGCCAGUGAUAAACUGGAGGAAGGUGGGGAUGACGUCAAGUCAUCAUGGCCCUUACGAGUAGGGCUACACACGUGCUACAAUGGCGCAUACAAAGAGAAGCGACCUCGCGAGAGCAAGCGGACCUCAUAAAGUGCGUCGUAGUCCGGAUUGGAGUCUGCAACUCGACUCCAUGAAGUCGGAAUCGCUAGUAAUCGUGGAUCAGAAUGCCACGGUGAAUACGUUCCCGGGCCUUGUACACACCCGCCCGUAAA